ACGUGAGCAUGACCUUUAACCUCGCACAGCCGUGGUUCAGUGAGUACUGCCCUCCUGUUUUCUCUGAGGGCUGGUCUUGUAAAUGUCAGCUCUCUCGGCCUGGAGCCCUCUCAGGUUCAAAAGCUGUUACUGUGAAUCAUGUCUGUUCAACCAUCAGGCACAAAUAGGUGCUGAAUAAUUCUUUGUGUUCGCAUGAAGACAAAGCCAAAGGUGCCGAUGAAGGCCUUCUGCCGUAGCUUAUUAGAAACUGGAUCACCUCUGGGGAUAUGUCCUGCUUGUUGUUGGCUCCUGUUAGAACCCGACAGACACUUCCUGGUAGGGAGCGGCACAUGCGCGGAGGAGAAAAGGACAAGACCAUUCUGGAAACCUCUGCGUUCCUAAGCAACGGGCUUGACAGUGAUUGCUAAGGCAUGGAUUUGCAGGCCUGCUGGCUAGUCUGUAUAUAGUGGUCAGAAACAGACACGUUCUGUGCCGCGUUUAGCUGCUAAGGGGAUUGGGGAAGUACAGAUUUUUUUUUCUCGUGGAGCAGCAGAGGGCUAGUGCUGACCUGUAUAGAUAACCCCAGGAAUCCUAAAACUUGACGCUCACGUGGAACCAUAAUUGCCGAUGAUACCGUCAGCUGUUGAACUCGCAGGACACGUCGGAACUUGUCCCGGAGCUUUACACGUGUCAGUCUUUUAUUACAUUCUGCUGCUAAACAAACAAACAAGCUUUUUUUUAAAAAAGUACCUUAAAAAGCUAUUUUCAAAA